AUUGCUACACAUAUCAACAUAAAAUAACUUUUCUUUACUACAGGGUGGAUAUUAUUAAGAACCCAUUACAUGAACAAAGUAACAUUAGGCGCAUUCUUCAAGGAUUUUCCUCCCCGUUGACCUUUCAACCUUUUGUAAUUUUUCCGGACUGUUCCCGCUUUCCUCCACUUCCUCCUUCACAGACUGUGUGAAACCAGGACAUUUGGGAAAGGAGCGUUGAUAUUUUUCCCUGAGAAGCUGUAUUGCUUUCCAUCAAUAGACUUGUGUGGGUUUCACAGAUGGGAGAAAUCAACAGGAAUGUAUACAUUCAGCAUAGCUUGGUCUGUCAGUACUUUAUUCUGUUACCUUUCAAAUGAUGGGUCGAGUUUUAAAACAGCAAACUCAAAUGCCUGACAUAGAUGCCUAAAUUUGGAGCUCGACUGUUUAUAUUCAUAGACCCAUUCGUAGUCAUGUAACUCAUGAUAAACUUAAUUGAAAACUGGUCUAGCAAUGUCUGUGAAUACUUUUGGAAGUUUCUAGCACAUAUACCAGCCCUACACCGUCUGAAGUUUUGUCAGGAUGUCUGUGUGAUUGAUUUCCUGCCUUUUCUUGCGCAUCAACCACGAGGGCCUCUCUCUGUGCUCCCCGAUCCUCCUCUGAGCAUGCUCUCUCUUCAGAAUGUUGCUGCUUCCUAUUCCCUCUGAUUGGGAUGGCGUUCUGCAGAUGCUACACAUGGUUUACGCAGGUUUUUUGGGUUGCUGAUCAAAAUUCUCUUGAAGGAAGUCGCCCCUGGUCACCCCAUCGAAAGUAAAAAUUAAAUUGCUGUAGCUUUCUGUCUCCACCAUUAGCUCGGUGAAAGUACACCAUUAUGUUUCCUCCAAGAGAACAACGGUUCUGGGAGGGCUGCUGGUCGAGUACUGUAUGUAUGGGAGUAGAACAGCACAGAGAGGGUAUUAAGGAUCUGUUACACAAAUGAACUGUUUGCGUUAGCAGAUGAGCAAAAAAUAAAGGCAGUAACAAUCCGUAGGAGUAUGAUAGGAUGAGGCAUAGUAUUUCAGUAACUUGAAGUAUUAGGCAAUCACCCUUGCCUAAGGAGAAAGAGCUACUUGAUGGAGGGAUUUCCAGAAAUUGCUAAGGAAGUAGUGCAAAUGAGAAAAAGUGUGCAUAAUAGGACCCUGACAAUGAUAGAUCAACUUCUCAUUCAUCAUCUGUCUACAUAUAUUUCCAUGAUGACAUACUCAGAAAGACACUAGAUUGGCAUUAUCUACUAUCUGGGGGAAAAGUGUGAACAAUAAUUUUCCAGCAAAGAAAUUCUAAAGGAACCAGAGGGCUAAACAUUGGUAAAAAGAACAUAAAAAUGAUUGCAACUAUAAUUGGUUCUGCACAAUAUGCUUCAUGGCAUCUUCCAUGAAAUUUUUUCACUCUCAAUGUUUUGUUGAAGACUUAUGCUUCUAUGUUCAUCAGAGAUAUCAGUCUGUAGUUCUCCUUUUCUGUUAUGUCUCUAUUAGGCUUUGGUAUUAAGGUAAUGUUGGCUUCAUAGAAAGAGUUUGAAAGGAUUUCUUCCCUUUCUAUUGUUUUAACUAUCUUGUGGUGGAUUAGGGUAAGUUCUUGAAACAUUUGGUAGAAAACAGCUUGAAACCAUCGGU